rnacentral:rRNA from 1 species
UGGGGAAUUUUGGACAAUGGGCGAAAGCCUGAUCCAGCAAUGCCGCGUGUGUGAAGAAGGCCUUCGGGUUGUAAAGCACUUUUGUCCGGAAAGAAAUCCUUGGCUCUAAUACAGUCGGGGGAUGACGGUACCGGAAGAAUAAGCACCGGCUAACUACGUGCCAGCAGCCGCGGUAAUACGUAGGGUGCAAGCGUUAAUCGGAAUUACUGGGCGUAAAGCGUGCGCAGGCGGUUUGCUAAGACCGAUGUGAAAUCCCCGGGCUCAACCUGGGAACUGCAUUGGUGACUGGCAGGCUAGAGUAUGGCAGAGGGGGGUAGAAUUCCACGUGUAGCAGUGAAAUGCGUAGAGAUGUGGAGGAAUACCGAUGGCGAAGGCAGCCCCCUGGGCCAAUACUGACGCUCAUGCACGAAAAGCGUGGGGAGCAAAACAGGAUUAGAUACCCUGGUAGUCCACGCCCUAAACGAUGUCAACUAGUUGUUGGGGAUUCAUUUCCUUAGUAACGUAGCUAACGCGUGAAGUUGACCGCCUAGGGAGUACGGUCGCAAGAUUAAAACUCAAAGGAAUUGACGGGGUCAUAGCUGUUUCCU